UGCGAGGUAUGUGAUAUUGGGAUGGCUCAAUCAGAUGGCGUUCGCUGCAAUGCUCAGCCAGCGCUCUCAAAUUGAGCCGCGCCAAUAUCACAUCCUUGGAAAA
rnacentral:pre_miRNA from 1 species